GAUGAACGCUGGCGGCGUGCCUAAUACAUGCAAGUCGAGCGAACAGACGCGGCUCUUGCUCCUCUGUCGUUAGCGGCGGACGUGUGAGUAACACGUGUAUCACCUACCUAUAAUACUGGUAUAACUUCGGGAAACCGGAUCUAAUACCGUAUAAUAUAUUGAACCGCAUGGUUCAAUAGUGAAAUACGGUUUUGCUGUCUCUUCUCGCUGGAUCCGCGCCGCAUUAGCUGGUUGUUAAGGUCACGGCUUACGAAGGCGACGAUGCGUAGCCGACCUGCGAGGGGGAUAGGCGACACGGGAAGGGAGACGCGGACAAGACGCCUAAGGGAGGCAGCAGAAGGGAAUGUGAGGCAACGGGCGAAAGCAUGACGGAGCAACGCGGCGUGAGUGAUGAAGACCUUCGGAGCGGAAAAAUCGGUUACGAGGGAAGAACAAAUGUGGAAGUAAAUAUGCAGGGAGUGACGGUACCGAAUAAAAAAGCAACGGCUAACUACGUG
rnacentral:rRNA from 1 species